UGCCCCUUAUGACCUGGGCUACACACGUGCUACAAUGGACAGAACAAAGGGCUGCAAGACCGCAAGGUUUAGCCAAUCCCAUAAAUCUGUUCUCAGUUCGGAUCGCAGUCUGCAACUCGACUGCGUGAAGCUGGAAUCGCUAGUAAUCGCGGAUCAGCAUGCCGCGGUGAAUACGUUCCC
rnacentral:rRNA from 1 species